CACUGAAUUUCCAAAGCAGCAGAAUACCUGGAAACUCAAACAUGUAUUAAUGGGGCUAACAACAACAGAAACGGUCUAAACAGCUGGCAUGUCUAGUUACAAUAUUUGUGAAAGCUAUAUAAACAAUUGAUUGAUUCUAAAUGAACUUACAUUGUCUCAACAGAACAUGUUUGCUCCUAAAUAGUAACCAUUGAAGAUGGCACAUUUCUGGCUAUAAAGCUAGCAAGGUUCUCAACUAGUUUAUUUCUCUAAGACAAAUCAG
rnacentral:misc_RNA from 1 species